GCGAGCGGCCGGCUCCCGCCGCCGCGGCGAUGGAGGAGGCAGGCGGCGGCGGCGGCGGCGGCGGCGGCGAGGUCUCGUUGUCCCCGUCCUGGCGCCGCGUCGAGCUGCGGCGGCUGAGGCGGCUCCGGCGGCGGUUCUCCUCCGACCCGCUGCUGGCCCGGCUGCCGCCCGGGGACGGGUCCCCCGCGGCCCGCCGGUCGGUGGUGCUGAUGGGACCGACGGCGGAGGGAGAGCGGCUGCUGGCGAAGGCGGCGACUUACCGGAGACGCAAAGCCGGGCCGGAUGUGCGUUCACACCUCUGUUUCUGGAAAAGAAUUGCAGGAAUCAUCAUCGCUGUUGCUGUGAUUUUACUCUUAUCAUGGAUUACCUUGAAUCCACCUAAAUUACCACAGUGGGAGCCGUGCCCUGAUGACUGGCUCUACUACAAGAAGAAGUGUUACUAUCACUCAGGAGCCGUGGCAGAUUGGAGUUCCAGUCAGGAGUCCUGCUCUGACUAUGGAGCUUCCCUUGCAGUGAUUGACAGCCCCCAGGAGCUGAACUUUAUAAUGUAUCGAAUACGCAUAACAAACUUCUGGAUUGGGCUGCGCAGGAAAGGAAACAAGUUCUUCUGGGUGAAUGGAGAGUCAUUUGACACAAACUUAUUUCCUGUCAAUAUAACCAAUGAUGGAGACUGUGUCCAUAUAGAUUCAGCCUUCAUCUCUACCAGAAGGUGCUCCUCACUCAGGAACUGGCUUUGCACCAUUGGUCAGUUUAGUCCCAAGACAAGCUCUUAAUAGGGAACACCUGGCUGUGCAAGUACAGAGACUUGCUCCACGAGAAGUUGGAAUUCAGAAUACUGAAAGUCUUUGCUGCAGGAGGUCCAUGAGGGCAAGAGGUGCUGUGGCGAGGAUCAUAUCCAAACUUCUCCAGGAGAAGCAAUCCAGGGAGUAAUAGUGACUCCAUGUGAAAGAGGUAAUUGGUUAAGAAUUAGCAGUAUGGAGAGGAAAUGGUGAUACAACCGCCCUGGCAAAGAACAAAAGUUGCUUCUUGGUGAUACAGUUUCAUUGUUGAAACUGCUGAAGGACAUGGCAAUGGAUGCUUUCCUUGAGAACUCUUCACAAUUGCAAAACACAGUUUUUUAGGGCAGCUAAAAACAUUGUUAGAUGGAUAUGAAAAUGGACAUAUUGAAAAUGCAGUUCAUAGUGAACCCAGUGAUGUGUUUUUUCCUGUUUUCUGUGGAGCUCAGUAAUUCUUUGUCUGAGAACUUUCAGUUUGUCUUUGUGGUAAGUGGGUGAGAUAUCAUAAGGUGUUUUGGCUUCCCUCCCCUUCUUUUUCCAUGGAUUUUUCAAAUGUGAUUGGCAUGUAAAGUCCAAGGAUAUAAAUGGGAGCUUUGUAAACCGGGAAGGCAGAUAACAACUAGGUCUUCUAGUGAAUGGCACUGGUGUUAUGGGGCAUAUAGAGUGGGACAGAUUACAAAUACUCUUCUCUAUCCCUCUGGACUGAUCUGCAAACCUGACGGCUACUACCGAAAACUUCCCUGAAUAUGUGGCUGCAGUAGGAAAGCUCUCAGACUGAAUCACGCACAGCUGUCAUUUUGGGAGGGCUGAGGAAGUCAAGUGGACUUAGAAGGGGAGAGACAUGUAUAUGUAGCAUGGAAAGGGUUCUAGGGCAGCUUAAAUUGAGGUACUGUUGUGUUUAUCUGUUUGCCUGUGCAGUGGAAAAAAAAGCUUUUAUUGUCUCCAGCACAGCUAUUUUGUCCAGUGACUUGUGUGGGCAAGGAUAGUUAAUAGCCCAUGGGACAGAUGCAAUAAUGCUAAAUAGCAUUGCACCUUGGAUUAAUCUGUUUAAAUUCUUGGCGUGAUGCUCUGCAAAUGAGCAGUGGGGGCAUGGUAGGCUCACCUGGAAGAUCUGUGGUUGGUUCCUACCUGGUCAUUCUCAGAUUCAGCAGAUACCUGUACAAUGACUACUUCCCAAGAUACAUGAUUUACAAAGGGUGGGCACCGUCUUUAAAAAUGUGAACCAGAAGAAAGGCUUUUUAAGCCAGGAAAAUGUUCUCAUCUGGAAACAGAAUACUGCUUUAAGCUCAGGGAAGAUGAAGAGUCUGGCAUAUUGAUCUUCAAAGAAAUGGGAAGAAGAAAUUGCAAAUUGCUAUAAAUGCACUUGGUAUUUAUCCAGAAGAUGUACUCCUUUGGAGGGGAAGAAAUAGGUGAGAGGAGAAACUGGAACAGAGUAUUCAAUAUAUCUUUGUUCCCACCAGUCAUUCCCCAAGAAAGCACAAGAACAGAAGGGGAAGCACCUUGUAAGGAACCGUGGACAGGGUUCAGAUUGCCAGGGUAAGGGACCUAUUGCCCACCACAUGUCAAAAGUCCUGUUGAAAGAGUCAGCAUGAAGUGCCAGACAGGAUCUGAAAGCAACUUUUCAAAAUGGCAAGUGAGGUGGUUUAUGCAGAGGUAUCGCCCAAGGAAAGAGUGCAUUUUACUUCACAAACUUCAGAUACAGUAGUAUGGCUGAAAUGUGCUGUUCCUGAAACACAUUAGUGAUCAGACAUUGAAGAUAUUAAUAAGGAUUACUGGAAAGGAUUACUGGAAACUCAUUGGCAGUACACUGAUGACACUGAAUGGACUGCUUUCUCCUGUAGUGAUCCAGCCACAUACAGUGAGGUGAAUGUGAAAUGGCGAUCUGACAGACCUGACAGCACACCCAAGACUACACAUACAGGUGCUAGAUCUAUAGCACACAGUGUAGCACAUUCCUGCUGAAGGCCUAGCUACAAUGAUUUUGCAUACUCGAAAAACUCAGAACAAAACUUGACUUGCUUCUGCCUGUGGUGAGACCCCUCUCCCUUGUCCCCUUGGCAGCGACCUGCUUGGCGAACUCACACUGGUGUUACGUCGUUGUUGCCCUGUACUUCACUGCAGUGAUUCUGCUCAUCACUGUCAUCCUCCUGGCAGUGAAAUGUCACCACCUCUGAGGCAGACCCUGCCAUCCCGCUAAUGUACAGGAUAACUCAGCAUGGGAAGGCUCUGCUUCUUCAACAGAACAAGACAUAAUGCUUCAUAAUGCUUGUUGACUUUUAUGUUAUUCUCUCUGAAGAGACCUUUAUGUAAGAAGACAUGCCAUCAGUCUGAUCACUCUUCAGUUAUGUCUUCCAGGAUCUCCAUUAAACCUCUAACCUCUACACAUAUGGACAAAACGUAUUUUAUUAUUUUUAUUUGAAAUUUGCUUAAUCCUGUAAUACCAGCAACAACCCAAUUAUAUCAGUGCAUGUACCAAGACAUGGGCUCAAGCUGCUGCAUCAGAAGUUGGAUUUGGGUCUUGUCUAGAUAACACAAAUGACCAAGUGGACCAGUUUGAGACAUCACUUUUAAUUCACACCUGACUUGAUUUUGCAAUAUAGAUAAGCUUUUAGAUCCCAUAUGUGCAAGUGCAAAUUCAUGGAUAAAAGAGGGAAUGUGAAAGGUCGCACUGAAUUUUUUUAUGAAGCCCAGGUUUGGAUGUGAUUUUUCUUCUCCUGACAGCCUUUAGUGGGAUUUGUAUGAAAGGGGUAUUGAAGGUGCAAGAAACUACAUUUGUUUAGUUAGAGAAGUCUCAGUCUUAUUCCUCCAUUGGCUUGAAUAAAAUUAUUCUGUUCUACUUGUCCAGAACAGCAUCUCACAGAGAUACAAUAUGCUGUUUCUGUCUUGGGACAGUAAUUAAUUUUGUAUUUGUUUUGGUUUUUUCCCAAAUGCUGUCGUUUCAGUUAAAUCUUCCAGUUAAAGCUUCAGUCCUCCACUGGAACUGAGCCACCUCAAGUUCAGAUGCAUUUCUUUGUAAUUAUUAAUUUGCUGUCUGUUAUUUUCAGUUCUCAUCAGUUAUGUUACAACUUCUUUGGGGCGGGCUGAUAUCAAUGAUUUGCAGACCUUGAGUAGGACCGGUCUGUAUAGCAAAUACUUCUAGAAUUGUUCUCUGUAUCUAAGCUUAUCUGUACUUAAGCCAUGUUGUUGCUGCUGAUAAUGUACCCCAUUUUUAUAGUAUAUGCACCAGAAAUCAAUAAAGAGAUUUAGUAAAGCA